rnacentral:lncRNA from 1 species
CUGCUGGCUGCCCACUUUGACUCUUAAUAGUCUGGAAGGAACUUUGCACGCGAGACCAGGAACGUCAUCUGGUAGACUGCUGCGCGUGUAGUAGUUUGAGCCAGCGCGCAUCCCGUAGAAGUAGCAAAAAAAAAACAGUGCAUGUGUUAAAGCAGCUGGAGGCCCUAUGCUUCUGAUGGUGCAGCAGCUCUGGUGAGUCCUGGGUGACCUUACUGAACUAGCAAAGAACUGAGCAUUGCAAGUGCUCCUACCUCCCAGUUAUACUCCCCACCAGCCUCACAUUCAUAGCCAGUUACACUGUAUUAAUACAUCAAGGUAAGGCUAAGGAAGGGAUUUUGAUCAAGUUAGCCCAUCUAUAGAGAGUUAUUUACUAAAGUGGGAAUUGUUAAGAAUUCGAAGUGAAUUUAAAUAUUAGGUCAAAAUAGCAAAAGGUCUCAGAAGAGAAUGAUCUAAGACUGGAUGGUUAAGAUGGUGCCUGGGGACUUCAGAUACCAUAGCUACUUCAUUAAGAGGUAAUGGUUAUGGUGCCAGGAAUGAGCGCUGUCAAAUCUGCGACAAUAUGAAAUUCACCCUGAAUUCCCAAUAGGUCACACUUCAGCGACAAACACUGCUAAUAUGUGAGAAUUUACAGAUUACUUUGUAAAGAUAGAGAAGUGGAAAUUGCAGAUGAAGUAGCUAUUCGCCAGAAUGUGUAUUGAUGGGAAUUGUGAGUGAAUAUCCAACAAUGCGCACUUCAGUCAAUAACCCAGUACAGUAGACUGUUACUGGUUUCAGAGACCUAACAGGACCUAAGAUUUCAAGCGCUGAUUUAGUAUCUCAGUGUAUCUUAGUGUAUUUUAGUGAUUUGAAGUGGUAAUGGUUCCUGGUGUUGGUUUUCCUUUGAAACCCUGCACACACCCUACCAUAGGUGUAACUCCACCUCUGGCACCCUGCAAGAGGUGUAACUCCACCUCGAGCAGCGUUACUAGGACAUCAUUUAACACUACAGAACAAAACUUCAUUAGCUGGCUAAGGUCAGUUUUUUUUGCACUUUGGACACCUGUCAUCAGAACGUAUAACAGGUGUCCAAUGGACAUGAGCUACCUCUCCCUACCACCAAGUCCUCCUCUUAGCUCGUCAUCCCUGAAAUCCCUUCCUUGCGGCUAGGGGCAAUGACGUCAACAGAGGAAGAUUGGGUUGCUGGUAAACUUGGCUUUGGUGCUGCAGGGAGGUAUGUUAACUUUUUUUUUUAAUUAAGGGACAAUGAUAGGAAGGGUUACUCUAACCAAAGACAAUGUUUUAUAAAACACUGUUUUUUGUUUGGAGUAACCCGUCAUGUUUUUUUGAGUACAGUAAUAUAGGAUAGUGAAAAUGAGUGUGCUUAUUAGUGGAUGUGAUUCAUCUCAAAUUGGCUCUGUAUCCCCCUCCAAUGAAGCAUUUCAUAAAAAUAAAAUAUUUGUGAAAUGCUCAUAGAGGACUGUUGGAAUUUAAGAAACAUUCCAACGCAGUCAAAAGAUAGAACAAAGCAGGGACUACUUUGUCUUAUGGCAAAUUCUCAAGUUGACAAAUCGUGGAGCUACCGAUAUCAAGUUUUGUCACGUUCUACAGCCAUCGCUAAUGGAUGUGGGAGUGAGGCAUUAUCUUACUCAUUGUGAGAUAAUAUCUGUGGAGGCUAUAUUGGGAUCCUCCAUAGACAUAAGAGUUGUACUCUCACACAUGUAUGAAAGUACCGCAAUGACGUGAUCUCCUGGCAGAAGACAUGCCAGGAGCUGAAAAUCAAAGUAAGUAAUUGGAUUACUUAUUGAUAGCACUUUUUGAGCCAGAGCAUGUUUUAGUUUGGCCUGCAAAAUUAUGAUGACUUUAUAGUGAUUGAUACCAGACAGGCGUAAGAUGCUGAAUACUAAGUUCAGGUGAGAGAAAGGGAAUGAUCCCUCUAAAUGGCAUGAAUGACUGACACCCAGUUGCGGUUAAACUUAUUUGUAUCUUUUAAUCUGCAUACAGUAAAAGUCAUAAACUUAUAAAAGCAUUAGCUUUUUUUUACACCAAGGUAAUUGAGUAUGCAGUUUUGGGAGGUUUAACAGUAUUUGCAGACUUUCCAUGGAUAGAUUUUCACAGAGUAGUAGAAUUGGAAGGUGAUAUGAUUCUUAUAGCCGUUUCUAUAUUCUUUGUCUGAGUAAGCUUUAUUAACGACUUACAUUGUUUGGGUAAGGUAUUUCUUGAUCAUCACAUGCUGGCCAUGUGUUACUUAUUGAGUAUUGUAGAAAGCUCUUCACAUUUAAUUACAUGGAAGAGAUGAUUCCAUUUUCUUGCCCUUUGUGGUAAAGACAUUUUUUGCAUUUAGCACAAUUAAACGGCUACCCCAAGCACCAUGACUUCGUCAGAGAUUUGAAGUGGUCAUGGUGCCUGGAGUCUGUAUAGGAAUCAUUUCACUAUUAAACAGAGAGUGUGUGUGUAUGUGUGUGUGUGUGUGUGUGUGUGUGUGUGUGUGUGUGUGUAUAUAUAUAUAUAUGUGUGUAUAUAUAUAUAUAUAUAUAUAUAUAUAUAUAUAUAUAUAUAUAUAUAUAUAUAUAUAUACACACACAAAACCUGUAUGAUAGAGGCGCUUAAAUAUUGAUAAUAUCAGGUGAGGUUAGGCUACAACACUCUAUUGGGGACCCCUCUCACCCAUCAACAUCAUGCAAAAAAGAGAAAGUGGGCUUGGUUGUGUCCUCACUGCACGUGACUGGGGGAACUCUGGCAGUCAGCUUGGAGGGACCCUCUCUGGGAACAGCAGAGACCAGCAACACGCGUCCGCAUUACAGGUGGGUAGUUCUCCCAGUGAGUGCCAAGUUUCUCUGUCUUUUAUACCUUUUAGCAAGUUUGUAACUUUUCCAAGAUUUCUUAUCAGUGCAGCCCAGCAUGUAUCUUGUCAUGCGCAUUAGGUCAUCAGUAUGGUUGAUCAGGCCAGUCGUGACCACCCAAGGCUCAUGCCAGAUACGUGCGGUAUCUUAUUCUCUCUAUGUCCCUACUCUUAUCUCUCCAUACAUUUGUUGGCACCAAUUCCCUCUGUUCAUCACGUAGGCCUUUUUGGAUAUUGUCCAGACAUGCUAUGGAAUAUUCCAGGCAAUGUUGAAUUUCUUAGUGCGACACAGUUUAAGCAUUUUAUGCAAUGUCAUCAUAGCUGAAUUUCUUGGUGCGACACAAGCUGAAUUUCUUGGUGCGACACAAGCUGAAUUUCUUAGUGCGACACAAGCUGAAUUUCUUAGUGCGACACAAGCUGAAUUUCUUAGUGCGACACAAGCUGAAUUUCUUAGUGCGGCACAAGUUGAAUUUCUUAGUGCGACACAGUUUAAGCCAAGUGCCAUCUUAACUAUCUAUGAUAGAUUAAUUUGCUCAUUAGUGAUCAAUCAAUCAUUCUUAAUUAGUUAAUUGGAUUUUAUCACAAUUAUCACAAUAUCGUAGAGAUAAUGUGUCAGAACAUGAAACAAUAAGUUUACGGUUGAACAGCCAUAGAUGUAAUUGUUCUGUGGUUCUAAUAGGUAGUUAAACUGUUUUUGAGUUUCAGCUGAAAUCAUUUGUCACAAGAAGACAAUUGAUAUUGCAUAACUUUCUGUAAAUAAAUGAAAUCUUUAUCAAGAUUUUUUUUCAUUCUGUUUCCCUUUUAUGGUCUAGAUUUUGAUUGAGGGGUGAUAUUCAGUACCAAAAACGUACAGUGGUGCAAAGGAUCAGACACGGCAGGAUUUUGUGUUUUUUCUGGCAUGCGUUGUUUAAACACCAACACAUUUCAUAAACUCAAUAAAAUAGUACAGUUACACUAUAUACACUAUAAAUAUCUUAGAUAGUUAAUGCUGUUUGGCUAGGGCUGUGUUUGACUUGUGCUGGCUCUAAUCUGCCUCCUUGACCGUCUCAGCCAAACCUAUGGGGAAGCACUGUGGCUUACAGAAUCACUUCUGAUAAUGUCAGCUGUAAGCAGGCAGAUCAGGGGCAGAGGCAGCAGCUGCAGAUUUGAAUACAAGUACAGUUUCCCUAUAAAUAGGGAGACCAGGGGUGCUAGACGGUGGUUUUAACAAUAUAGGUUCAGUGUGAUGGGCUAAUCGCCAAAGUGCGCUCUGUUCGGUGCUACCCACGUGGAGAUAUCCACCGCAGAGAGAGGUGAGCCCUAUGGAACUAUGACUCGGCUUCACAGCCACAGGGUCCCGCUGGCCGCUUGGAAGUCUGUCCAGCCAAUAGGAGAAGGGCCACCAUUCAAACUGGUUUUGCAUCCUUUCUCCCGAUUUGUCUGGCGAAACACCUUCCCUCCCUGAUCGCCGAUUGGUGCAAAUUGGUUUGCGCCCUUUUUCCUGAUUGGCUGCGUGGUUUAGGCGGGAAAUUUAUAUCACCAGCCGAAACGAAGUGAUUCUGUGAAGCUAUUUUGGGGUAUGUACAGAGCCUCAAACCCAGACUUUCGACAACAUGCAUCUUGGGUCAGACAUUGUUUGCAAGCCGACAGUCCGUUUGAUCAUAUCAAAGAGUUUUUCUAUUUUUUUAUUUUUUUUUAUAUAUAUUUUAUUUAAAAAAGAAUCUAUUUUGUUUGAAAACUUGGUGAAGGUAUUUUAAAUAAUAUUGUUGAGGUGACAGUUGUCCUUUAAGGAGCUACCAAGAAUAAACAGAACAUGAUGUCUGUUAGCUAAAAAGAGAAUCUGUUAUACUGUAAUUUCCUUUUAGAUGUUGAGUAAAAUUUGAAAAAACAAACAAAAAAAACGUACAUUUGAUGAAAUUAUUGAACACUGGAGCAUUUUCUAACUCUAACUCUUGUGGCCUGCCUGCCGCGCGGAGUGUUGCCAUGGUAACCGGUGGCAACGCUCUGACAGCCACGGGACUUGCGAGAUUUAGACAGGGGAGCUGAAGGGAGCUGCUGGGAAGGGAAGAUCUUGCUGGGCCCCCAGGACCGUCUGGCUUGUCAUGGGCCCGGCGGUCCUGAUUGGCAAUAUCGGUAUCUUUAUUGGCCGAUACCGAGAUUGCAGAGAAUACUGAAUAUCGUCCGAUAAUAUCGUCCAUACCGAUAAUCGGUCGAUCCCUUAUAAAAUUAGUAAUAAAAUAAAACAUAUACAUACAUUUAAUACCUAUUAUAGGAAGAAAGGGGGAAAAAAUAUAUACAAAUUACAAUACAUAUUUAAAAUGCGAGUUAGUUAAAAAUAUUUUUUAAUAAAACAUGUAUCCUAAUAAAGUGAAUAGGUGCAUAUUCAGGGAUUUGACUUGUGCUUUCAUUGUCUGGAAUAAAGUACCUGUAAACAUUAACAAGAAAAGGAAAGCAAUUUUACACAGCAGCGCAUAUGUAAUUACAUGCAUACAGUUUAUCCACAGAAUCGUAUUGGACCAUGCAGAAAAAAAAAAGGUGCUAGGAGUGGACUGGCAGAGUGGACAGAUGUUUAAAAAUACUCAAAAAAGGUGGCUUGUAGUUAACAAUAAAUAAUUAUAUAAAAAUAUUAUGUAAAAAUCUCAUAAAUAGUUAAAAAACAUUUUUAAAAAUGGCUAAUCAUUUUUAAAAAUGGCACAUUUCAAAAUCAUUGCUCAAGCCAUUCGGAACCAUGGUGUUCAGUGCAUAGAUCCACUUCAUUUUUGCCUGUCCUAUUUUCUGGUUAAAGUCACCCCCCCUCCAACCACCCCCAUUAUUUUUUGAAUUCCCAUAAAUUUCAGCUUUGUUGGGUCUGCAUCAUGAUAGUCUCUAAAGUGCAUAGACACUUGGUGUAGUGCACACUUCCUUUUGAUGUUAUACACGUGCUCACAGGUUCUUGUGUGUAACAUUCUUGUUAUGCGGCCUGUAAUUAAGUCCACACGGGCACGUGAGCAUGUAUAUGACAUUACGGGAACUGCAAGUCAUAUCAUCUCUAAUAUCAUAUGAACAGCAAUUAGCUUCAAAUUUAUUGUAACAUUUCUUUCUUUCCCGCAGUUUUUGAGCAGGCGUUACAGUUGCCACAUUUAAAAAAAAAUGUUCUUUAAGUUUUCUCCUGGGGCUUCUAAAAUACCAUCUGUGAGAUUGGAUACUCCUCUAUGUACUAUCUUUGGUCUCGGAAGUAGGAUAUCUUUUAGGAUUGGAUCAUCCAAUAGUAUCUGCCAAUAGUUAUUUAUGAUCUGUCUCACCUUUUCAUUAUGUCCUCCAGAGUAUUGGCAUAUAAAUGGUGUUACAUUAAUAAAUUAUUUUUCAGCCUUUUUUCUAUAUUUAAUAAUUCUAUUCUAUCCUUAUCUUGUACAUCUUUAGUCGCAGUAUUUAAAAUCUUUUCACUAUAACCUUGAUCUUUAAAAUCUUGGAUCAGUUUUUAACUUUGUUGGAUAAAAACACUUGUUUCUGCGCAGUUUCUAUUCAACCUAGUUAGUUGGCAUUUAGGUAUGUUAUUUAGCCACGGACUAAAAGUUCCUUUCCAAACCAUAAUUAAAUGGUCUAUAUAACAUUUGUAUAGCAUCAAGUUUGCAACCCAGCCACUGUUUUCGCCCAUAUAGAGCGAUUCCCAAUGCGCCAUGAAAAGAUUGGCGUAGCUGGAGGCAAACUUGGUGCCCAUCGUAUUACCACACUUUUGAAGGUAGUAGACGCCCUGGAACCAAAAAAUUUUUUCCAAUAUAAAUUGGAUUGAUUCCAGGAUGAAAUUAAUCUGGCUCUGGGGGUAAAAGGAAAAGGUUUCUAAAAUAUGUCUGACUGCAUGACUGCAUUUAGUCUUGGAUGGUGUCUAAUGCUAGUAUAUAGGGAGGAGAUGUCUGCAGACACCAAAAGAAAAUCAUCCUGCCAUUUUAAACCUUCUAAGGUUUUUAGUACACGGUUAGUAUCCUUUAGGUAUGAUGGGCGGUUUUGGACCAAUACUCAGAUAGUCUACGUGAAAUAGCAUCAAUGCCCGAAAUGAUGGGUCUACCAGGUGGUUGUGUCACACUCUUGUGUAUUUUUGGCAGAAAGUGUAAAAUUGGUUCCCUUUGAUAUCUUGGUACCAUAUAUUCGUUCUCCGUUUUAUUUAAGAUGCCAUCUAGGAAACCUUUGGAAAUUAUACUUUAAAUUUCUCUUUUAUCAUGGAGGGGAAGGGUCGGAAUUUAAUUUUUUUUUAUAUGUUACCUGAUCUCCGAGGAGUAUAUACGCCUCUUCCAAAUUAAAAAAUUCCUAUUGGUUUAAUCUUUGUAAUUAACUCCUAGUCAUUCUCUUACCGCCUCUCUUUCCUCUCUCUCUUUCCUCCUGAAUCUUUUGUUUUGAAAAGGAGGAGAUUGUUGACUCAUUAUCCUCCUUCUUUUAUGUAAUAAAGGCGAGGAAGGGUUAUUCCUAUUUUCCAGAUUAGGGAGUGGUUGAAAUCUGUUGCUUACUGAAAUAUUAUUAGAUUCUUUUUGAUAUCUAAGAUUAGAGUGAUGUCCAUUUCUCCUUUGGACCUGCCAUCUCGGGGAAUUGUAUUUGGGAUAAUUUUUCUUAGUGAUCUCUCCUUUUUUUGUAAAUUUGUGUCCUGGUUAUAUUCCUGAUGAUCCCUUUUUUAAAAAACUGAAUCUUUUCUUUGUUUUUUGAAAUUAGAUGCUCUAUUAAAUUUGCCUGCCAAUGAUCCUUUGUAAAAAGCUAAAUCUAUGGGCAAAAAAUGGAGGGCACACAGAAAUCAGUAAUCUGUGCAAUCAAAGUUCACGAAGAGUGAUCUAGAAGUCUAUUAAAUUGUCCCAACUUGUUAUAUGUAACUGCAGAUCCCCAACAAAAAUUUCUGAUGAAAAAGCAAAAAAAGGAGAAAAAAAACAUGGGGAAAAAAUAUAAUCGACAAAAUAAGCAAAAAACAAGAAAAAAAAAAGAAAAAACUUUCUGUGUUAGGGUCUGGUCGGAUCUCACCCUUAAAGAAUCAAGGAGGCCUCCUGAUAAAUUAGCAAUGAAACAUAAAUGAUUCAGAGUCUUCAAAAAACAGGAAAGGGACCUGUCAUAUACUAAAGGGAGGAAAUAAUUUUUCUCCUUUUUCUAUCUACACUUUAUUAAAAAUGUUAUUUCCUUUCAAAACUCGAUGAAAGGAUUAUUAUAUUAAAAUAAUGUUUUAGGUGACAGUUGUUGUUUAAUGUAUUUUGUUUUUCACAAAGCAGCCAAAAAAGAGAGGAGAGCAGUUAAAAUCACCCUUCACUGUCCCUUUAAAAAUGCUACUAUAGCAUGUUUGUUUUUUUGUUACUCUGAACCUUUUACGAUAAGCCCACGAUCUGGCUGUCAAAGCUCAGAAAUAUUAGUUACUGUAAGAAUAAUAAUGUAUUUUAAUAUAAAUAUAUACUUGUAUUUAUUGCCUUUUUUUUUUUAUACAGAUAUCUGCAAAAUAGAACUAAUUUGAAGAUGUUCAGGGGACUUUCUUUUCCUCAGUUAUUUCUUGCAACGUUUCUGGGAGUUGGUGCAGGUGUCUAUAUAUACAAGCCAAUCUAUGAACAAUACUACUGGGAACAGAAACGGCUGAAGGCAGAUGUAAACACCGUUGACACUGUUGAAAAAAAGAAUGAAUAGAAUAAUUAGGGAUUUUUUAUUUUUUUACUACGUUGUACACCACAAAAAAAAGCAUCUUUUAUUAUAUGUUGCAGCAUUGUGAGAGUGAAAUAUUUUUGAUCGCAGUUAACUCAGCCUAAUCAUGGAGUUUGAAUACUUUGCAAACAAUCAGGCUGGAUUUGGGCCAUCCUUGACAAUCUACAUGCAACAAGUGCUCAAAGACUUACUGUUACAUCAACAAUAUCAGAUGUUUUUGUUUGCUUUAUAAUCUUGCAGAUUUAGAAUUGUAAAUUAAAGAUUUUACUGAUUUCAUUCUGUGUCAAAUUUUAAAUUUGGGAGACGCUUACAUUUAAUCUCCAAAAAUUUCCAGUUUAACAAAGAUGUACAUCUUUGUUAAACAGAAAAACAAGAUACCCUGCCUUGUAUUACCUGCGAAUACUUUUGUAUGUAUCUUUCAAUUGCAUUUUAGCCAGUGGGAGGCUAGUGAGCUGAUGCUCUUAGCUUGUGGGAAGGCUCUUGCAUUUAAUUUGGGCCCAGAGGCAUAAAGACCAGAAAGAUGGGUGUUGUCGAGAUGUCUAAGGGAUUAAACUGUUCAUUCAUUUUUCAACUUCAAAGGUAAGAUGAUGCCGGGUUCCUCCAGGAACCAUAACCACAUUGAGAUGAAAUGGUUAUGGUUCCCAGAGUGUCCCUUUAAGUGUUCUAAUAAUUUUAUUUAGGGAUGGCUGAGAAUCAAGGGAAACCUGGUUAGGAAUAUCUUUGCUGCCAGCAUGAGCC